GGAGUUGGCUAGACAAUCGCUGCUUUAAUUUCUAUUUCUAGAAAAUUGGAAUAAAAAAUAAAGGAGAGGAAAGUCCGGGCUCCACAGGGCGAAGUGCCAGAUAACACCUGGGAGGUGAGAACCUACGACAAGUGCAACAGAAAGAAAACCGCCAAUGAAUAAAAUGCAAAAGUUAUUCAAAUCAGGUAAGGGUGAAAAGGUGUGGUAAGAGCACACCGCGCAGUUGGUAACAGCUUGCGGCGUGGUAAACUCCACUUGGAGCAAGGCCAAAUUUAGGAGACAAACAUGGCCCGUGUUAAAGUCUCCGGGUAGGCCGCUUGAGCUAGCACGUGAGUGCCUAGCCUAGAUAAAUGAUUGUCCACGACAGAACCCGGCUUAACGGUCAACUCCAAUU
rnacentral:RNase_P_RNA from 1 species